rnacentral:rRNA from 1 species
CACGUAGGGCGCAAGCGUUGUCCGGAAUUAUUGGGCGUAAAGAGCUCGUAGGCGGACUGUCACGUCUGCUGUGAAAAGCUGGGGCUUAACCCUGGCCUUGCAGUGGAUACGGGCAGACUAGAGGUAGGUAGGGGAGAAUGGAAUUCCCGGUGUAGCGGUGAAAUGCGCAGAUAUCAGGAGGAACACCGAUGGCGAAGGCAGGUCUCUGGGCCACUACUGACGCUGAGAAGCGAAAGCAUGGGGAGCGAACAGG